UGGGGAAUAUUGCACAAUGGGCGCAAGCCUGAUGCAGCCAUGCCGCGUGUAUGAAGAAGGCCUUCGGGUUGUAAAGUACUUUCAGUCGGGAGGAAGGUGGUAAGGUUAAUAACCUUAUCAAUUGACGUUACCGACAGAAGAAGCACCAGCUAACUCCGUGCCAGCAGCCGCGGUAAUACGGAGGGUGCAAGCGUUAAUCGGAAUUACUGGGCGUAAAGCGCACGCAGGCGGUUGAUUGAGUCAGAUGUGAAAUCCCCGGGCUUAACCCGGGAAUUGCAUCUGAUACUGGUCAGCUAGAGUCUUGUAGAGGGGGGUAGAAUUCCAUGUGUAGCGGUGAAAUGCGUAGAGAUGUGGAGGAAUACCGGUGGCGAAGGCGGCCCCCUGGACAAAGACUGACGCUCAGGUGCGAAAGCGUGGGGAGCAAACAGG
rnacentral:rRNA from 1 species